rnacentral:rRNA from 1 species
UACGUAGGGGUGCAAGCGUUAAUCGGAAUUACUGGGCGUAAAGCGUGCGCAGGCGGCCAUGCAAGACAGAUGUGAAAUCCCCGGGCUCAACCUGGGAACUGCAUUUGUGACUGCAUGGCUAGAGUACGGUAGAGGGGGAUGGAAUUCCGCGUGUAGCAGUGAAAUGCGUAGAUAUGCGGAGGAACACCGAUGGCGAAGGCAAUCCCCUGGACCUGUACUGACGCUCAUGCACGAAAGCGUGGGGAGCAAACAGG